AACGAGCGCUGGCGGCAUGCCUAACACAUGCAAGUCGAACGAGACCUUCGGGUCUAGUGGCGCACGGGUGCGUAACGCGUGGGAACCUGCCCUUAGGUUCGGAAUAACUCCCCGAAAGGGGUGCUAAUACCGGAUAAUGUCUUCGGACCAAAGAUUUAUCGCCUUUGGAUGGGCCCGCGUUGGAUUAGCUAGUUGGUAGGGUAAAAGCCUACCAAGGCGACGAUCCAUAGCUGGUCUGAGAGGAUGAUCAGCCACACUGGGACUGAGACACGGCCCAGACUCCUACGGGAGGUAGCAGUGGGGAAUAUUGGACAAUGGGCGAAAGCCUGAUCCAGCAAUGCCGCGUGAGUGAUGAAGGCCUUAGGGUUGUAAAGCUCUUUUACCCGGGAUGAUAAUGACAGUACCGGGAGAAUAAGCUCCGGCUAACUCCGUG
rnacentral:rRNA from 1 species